rnacentral:tRNA from 1 species
GGAUCUGUAGCUCAGCUGGUCAGAGCAUCCGCCUGUCGAGCGGAAUGUCGUGGGUUCGAGCCCCAUCAGAUCCGCCA